rnacentral:rRNA from 1 species
GACGGAGGCCCCGAGCGUUGUUCGGAAUUACUGGGCUUAAAGCGCGUGUAGGCGGAACGGUAAGUACUUUGUGAAAGCCCCGGCUUCAACCCGGGAAUUGCUUGGUAUACUGCCGUUCUUGAGGCAGGUAGGGGUCACUGGAACCUUAGGUGGAGCGGUGAAAUGCGUAGAUAUCUAAGGGAACGCCUGUGGCGAAAGCGGGUGACUGGGCCUGUCCUGACGCUGAGACGCGAAAGCGUAGGGAGCAAACUGGAUUAGAUACCCCGGUAGUCUACGCUGUAAACGAUGCGCACUAGGUUCGAGAGUCUCUGACGAUUUUCGAGCCGAAACAAAAGCGUUAAGUGCGCCGCCUGGGGAGUACGGCCGCAAGGCUAAA